CCUACGGGAGGCAGCAGUGGGGAAUUUUGGACAAUGGGGGCAACCCUGAUCCAGCAAUGCCGCGUGAGUGAAGAAGGCCCUCGGGUUGUAAAGCUCUUUUGUCAGGGAAGAAACGGUGGUUCCUAAUACGAGCUGCUAAUGACGGUACCUGAAGAAUAAGCACCGGCUAACUACGUGCCAGCAGCCGCGGUAAUACGUAGGGUGCAAGCGUUAAUCGGAAUUACUGGGCGUAAAGCGUGCGCAGGCGGUUUUAUAAGACAGAGGUGAAAUCCCCGGGCUCAACCUGGGAACUGCCUUUGUGACUGUAAGGCUAGAGUGUGUCAGAGGGGGGUAGAAUUCCACGUGUAGCAGUGAAAUGCGUAGAUAUGUGGAGGAAUACCGAUGGCGAAGGCAGCCCCCUGGGAUAACACUGACGCUCAUGCACGAAAGCGUGGGGAGCAAACAGGAUUAGAUACCCUGGUAGUCCACGCCCUAAACGAUGUCUACUAGUUGUCGGGACUUAAUUGUCUUGGUAACGCAGCUACGCGUGAAGUAGACCGCCGCGGGAGGUACGGUCGCGAAGAAGUUAAAACGUAACGAAAGAAGUUAGUACGGCGUGAGACGUCGCCGACGGACGACGACGAGGGAGAGG
rnacentral:rRNA from 1 species